GGGAUCUUAGCUCAGCUGGGAGAGCAUCUGCCUUACAAGCAGAGGGUCACAGGUUCGAGCCCUGUAGGUCCCAC
rnacentral:tRNA from 6 species